ensembl:lncRNA
ACUGCAGUUCAAAAUCCUUUUUCCACUUGCAAUUUAAUAAACUGCAGUUCAAAAUCCUUUUUCCACUUGCAAUUUAAUAAACUGCAGUUCAAAAUCCAUUUCCCUUUCCUGUUCGCUCCGGGAUUAGCUGCUGGAUUAGCUCCUGGAUUAGCUGCUGGAUUAGCUCUUCCAUUAACAACUUGCUGGAGGCUAUUCAAAUUAGCCACACCGUGGGAUGUAAGGAGCUCUCUGAUUGGUUGGUCAGACACAGGCUGUCUGCCAGGCUGGAUUUUUCUAGCUCAUAGCUUCUCCCUGCUACGAAGCGUGUGCUUGUACAAAGGCCGUUCAGCGUCUUUACACUCGGCUCGACACGGAUAUGUGAAGAAUGAAGGGACCCUGCAGCGAGACGGAGAGCCAACCUCUGACUCUGGUUGUUUACAUUUUCACGUUUUUGUGUCUGUAGGGCUGUUUGAUGACGAUUUGGACUCCUCUGGGAGAUGAGGACACACCCACAUCUGUUCCAUACUGCAGCCAUUGAUGGUGUUACAGCUCUGAGUCAGCUUUGGGCCAUCAGAUGCACACACUGGAAAACCAGCACCUGGACUUCAUGCAGGAGAGACUGCCUCAGUGAUGGACUCUGCAUCCUCUAAUCUCUUUCUUCUUUAACACACAAUUAAAAUCACUCCAAAAGAGUGUAAACUUACUGAGGAAGUCUCUAACUUGUACACAUUUGUACAUUUACUUGUUUUAUGAGUUAUUUUUAAGAAGAGUAAAGUUAUUCACAUAAAGUUGUUAUUCUUCUGUAUUUAUUCUUUUGUAUCAUGUACCACAGUCAUACUGAACUUUACAGACCUGGUGAAUUGGAGAAAACAAAGAUCACACACACACAUAUUUUAUAUAUAUUUAUCACUCAUCCAGGUGACUUCUCCAGUGUCACGGGUGACUGAUGAAUGUAUCUCCCACUGGAAACCAUUGUGUCCAGUUAAAGUCAAUCGACUUUUUUUAAGGAGAGUUGUUAGAUGCUGUGCUCAUGAGGACAAUGGGUUUUAACUUGCAGCACAACACAAAGCUGCCAUACUGGAUCAACGAUCAAAACACUUAAUUGAGCAGAAUUAAGUCAAAAUGUAAUAUCCUCAUAUGAUGACACAUCACACAUGAUCCAGCAUUGUUCUAAGAAUGCAAACUUUCUUAUUGGAAGUUUCCACAGCUGCCAGAAAGGGACAGAUUUCUGUCUGGUCUUAAUGAGUGGUCGUUGCUCUCUUGUUUUCUCUGGAAUUGCUGCACAGAGGAUGUAACACCCAUGAUAAGCACUGAGGUUUGUGUCCUUGUCAGAAAUCAGCAAUAUUCAGCUUCCAGGUAAGGAAGAGUGGAACCAGAAGAUAUUCAAAUGCAUCUCUCCACAGCUGCUGAUGAAUUCUACAAAAAACAAAGUUUGUUAAAACAUUUGCAGGUGAAUCACCACUGAUUUAUCAGUGACAUCCAUUUACUCAAAAAAUACUGACAAGUGGAUAACUAGAAUAUAUAUAUAUAUAUAUAUAUAUAUAUAUAUAUAUAUAUGAAUAAAAUUUCAAAAUGUCCUGUACAAAAUGGAACUGUAUAUGACAAAUGUGGUGUGGUGCUUGUGGAAUUUUUAACAAGGACCCUACAAAACUUUACAGUACUCAUGCUGCCAAACUUUUGACAGGUGUGCAGUAGGGCUGGGUAUCAUCACUUAUUUCUAAGUGUCAAAAUUUCCCAGAUUCAAAUCGAAUUUAAUCGAAUCGUGGAUCGAAUCGAUUCGGGACCUUGUGAAUCGGAAUUGAAUCGAUUCGAUCCACGAUUCGAUUAAAUUCGAUUUGAAUCUGGGAAAUUUUGACAGUCAGAAAUAUAAUUCAGAUCAGUACAUUGACAUAUUUUUGUAUCUAUAAAAAGGAAGCUGACACACGCAAGACUUUAUCAAAGGUGUGAGCGUCACAGCAGAUGCCUUUGUGUCAAAGUAGCUGAAGAUAAAACAGAAAAACAUGAAGGUGGUUUUCCUGGCCUGGGAUUUUAUAAAAAUAUUCUGCAGUACAUCAAAAACGAAAGAAAACCAUUAAUCAACAUAUGAACGUUACCUCUGACGUUACAGUGGUUUUAUUAGAGACACGGCUAAGCGUUUUGUAUUUUGCAUAAUUUUAAAAAGUUUAAAUUUGUUCAGUAUUGAACGGCAGAAAUUCAGUUUUCUUUUCGGAAGAAUGUAAAACGAAAAAAAAAAAAAAAAAAAAAAAAAAAACAGCGGCCGACAGCGCUGUAAACAACAGUAGAGCUGUGCGUAACAACCAAGCGAAUAAUGCAGAAAACAGUACAGAGAGAGAGAGAGAGCUGUGCAUGAAGUGUGAUUUUAGGGUGAUGUUUUGGGUGAAGCAAAACAGUAAAAGUCAGAGGGAAUUCAUGACGAUGUUUACGUGAAGCGUAGUUUGGAUCUUCUUUUGCUGCUGGUUCGGUCAAUAUUGUUUGGAGAGAGAUAAAACUAACAGCUUUAGAAUCAGCGCAAAAAGGGCGUGAACACAAAGUGCUACCCGCCGAAAUAUCAGAAUCAGGGAGCUGUCGGCUUUCAGCACCGACCGUGUCCAUGCAGUUGUUGUGCCAGAAAGUGAUUGCCGUCCGUGGGAACGCGCGCAGACGCUUAAAGCUGCAGCGCCCGUCGGGUGAGAAAGGCGACAUCUCACUGAUUCUGAUCCGCGCUGUGUGUUUACGUCCCUGUGCAGAAUCCGUGUACCUGCUCUCAUUUACUGUCUUAGCUGUUUGGUGGUUGUUGAAAUUUUGUGAGGUUUCACUCGAGAUUCUGGCUUUUCUGGCAAAAUAAAUUAAUAUUAAAAAAAAUCGAUUCAGGAUUUUAAUGAAUCGAUUUCACGUUAUCCAAGCCAGAAUCGAUUUUAGUCGAUGAAUCGAUUAUUAAAACCCACCCCUAGUGUGCAGUUCCUGCUUUAAAUGCAUUCAAAAUCUAAGUGAUAAGAGGCCAGAAAUGUUUGAACUCGGUUAUGAACCUACAUCACUGAGGCAGUCUCUCCUGCAUGAAGUCCAGGUGCUGGUUUUCCAGUGUGUGCAUCUGAUGGCCCAAAUCUGACUCAGAGCUGUAACACCAUCAAUGGCUGCAGUAUGGAACAGAUGUGGGUGUGUCCUCAUCUCCCAGAGGAGUCCAAAUCGUCAUCAAACAGCCCUACAGACACAAAAACAUGUGAAAAUGUAAACAACCAGACUAUCAGCAGUGAUUUAAGUACUUUAAGACCUCUGUGAAAAUCAUUUACAGUAUAUAUCACAGAAUUUAAGGCCUUUAUAAUCACAGAGCAUACAGAGAAAAGUACUAAACUGAAUCAAUUUCAGCUUUCAUUUUUCAUGAUGUAUAUUGUAUUAAUAAUUAAAUUUCAUUAUCUGUAUCUUUACCACACAUUUGCCACAUAGGUGUAGAUACUAUAGGUUCAGUGAAUGCUUAAAUUGCACUGAUUAGAAUAUACUGGACAUUCAAAGCUAAGAUUCAGCGCACUGUGUUAGAGGCUGGGAUUUGAUGAAUUCAUCAUCCUUUGAUCAUCAUUUAUGUCCAGGUGAGAAUGAAUCUGUGCACUCACAUAUUAAAUGAACUGAAAUCAGUAGUGUGAUCUCCAGUCUUGAUAUAAGGAAUGAGAGAACUGACAGCUGUUAUUUUAAUCAACCUGUCUCAGUUGUUUUUAACUCUAAGUACCAUAGAGUAAUGUGGUAACAUCUGGACUGACGAGUUUACUGUCAGCAUUGUAAUCGCUAGUUUAAAGGCUGUAGGUUGCAGCCAUUGCUCUAACACUGUAUAAAUGUAACAGGCCUCAGUGC